GCCAGGGACGGUGAUGUGUGCCUGUGGCCCCAGCUACUUGGCAGAGGGAGGAGGAUCACUUGAGCCCAGGAGUUGGAAGCAGCCUGGGCAGUGCAGCGGGACCCCCCUCAG
rnacentral:sRNA from 1 species